AUGGAUGUUAAAUUCGCCCAAAAUAACUACUUGACGAUUUAAAAUUUUUAAAUAAGAAAAUAUUUCAUUCAAAAUAUGAAUGAAAUUCUCAAAAUUACACAAUGGACUUCUCUACUAAAUUUAGAAAUGUCAAUUUUUUCAAAAAGAGUUCUUUGUUUUGCCAGAAUUACUGUACCCCCAUGUUGAUUUAAUUGUCUGCCAAAACCUGAAGCGAGUUUAAAAUCUUUAGACAUAAAUUGCCUAUGCAGCGGCCGUCUUCGGUGCGUGAUCCUCAAGUGGUAAGUGGCGGUGGUGAAGGCGGCAAGUGGUGGCACAACAUCACCACAGACAGCGGCCAGACGUCUCUUCAAGUCAAUGACCGUUUGCAGUACAGCGACACCGAUGAUGUCCGCGCAACCACCGGUUAAUCUCCUGCUGGAUUGACAAAGCAUCAAAGGCAGGUUACUUCUUCAUAUACGCUCGUUUAACAGCCGACAGAGACGCAUCUUAUUAAGGAAAAGAGGGAUGGAAAUUGGACGGCCGCCACACAAGGACGAGACUGGAAUUGAAUAAAGGACAAAAGUGGAUUUUGCUAUAUUAGCAUAGUCGGUUUUAAUUUAAAGAUGGGGGGAAUCGGAGAUGCUACAGCAGUAGAAUAUUAGCUUAAUCGGUCUGGAUUCUUUCUAAGGACUAGAAGAGAUCAAGACGAAAUGGAGAUUUCCACAAAGUUUAGCAACUUGGAGCUAUUUUAUUCUAGGGCAAAUAUUUAACCAAACGAUUUCAAUGAUAAUAGAAUGUUAUUACGA